rnacentral:rRNA from 1 species
AAUGCAGUCGAAGGAGAAGCCUCUUCGGAUGGUGGAAACUGGCGCACGGGUGAGUACGCGUGGGUAUCUACCUCGGGGUGGGGAAUAACCGCUGGAAACGGCGGCUAAUACCGCAUACGCCUUCAGAGGGAAAGCUCCGGCGCCCUGAGAGGAGCCCGCGUUGGAUUAGCUUGUUGGUGGGGUAAUGGCCUACCAAGGCGACGAUCUAUAGCUGGUCUGAGAGGAUGAUCAGCCACACUGGGACUGAGACACGGCCCAGACUCCUACGGGAGGCAGCAGUGGGGAAUAUUGGACAAUGGGCGCAAGCCUGAUCCAGCCAUGCCGCGUGAGUGAAGAAGGCCUUAGGGUUGUAAGCUCUUUACCUGCGAAGAUGAUGACGGUAGCAGGAGAAGAAGCCCGGCUAACUCGUGCCAGCAGCCGCGGUAAUCCGGAGGGGGUUAGCGUUGAA